UACGAAGGGGGCUAGCGUUGUUCGGAUUUACUGGGCGUAAAGCGCACGUAGGCGGAUCGUUAAGUCAGGGGUGAAAUCCUGGAGCUCAACUCCAGAACUGCCUUUGAUACUGAAGAUCUUGAGUUCGGGAGAGGUGAGUGGAACUGCGAGUGUAGAGGUGAAAUUCGUAGAUAUUCGCAAGAACACCAGUGGCGAAGGCGGCUCACUGGCCCGAUACUGACGCUGAGGCACGAAAGCGUGGGGGAGCAAACAGG
rnacentral:rRNA from 1 species